UUUAAUUCGAAGCAACGCGAAGAACCUUACCAAAUCUUGACAUCCUCUGAACCCUCUAGAGAUAGAGUUUUCCCCUUCGGGGGACAGAGUGACAGGUGGUGCAUGGUUGUCGUCAGCUCGUGUCGUGAGAUGUUGGGUUAAGUCCCGCAACGAGCGCAACCCUUAAGCUUAGUUGCCAUCAUUAAGUUGGGCACUCUAAGUUGACUGCCGGUGACAAACCGGAGGAAGGUGGGGAUGACGUCAAAUCAUCGUGCCCCUUAUGAUUUGGGCUACACACGUGCUACAAUGGACAAUACAAAGGGUAGCGAAACCGCGAGGUCAAGCAAAUCCCAUAAAGUUGUUCUCAGUUCGGAUUGUAGUCUGCAACUCGACUAUAUGAAGCUGGAAUCGCUAGUAAUCGUAGACCAGCAUGCUA
rnacentral:rRNA from 1 species